rnacentral:rRNA from 1 species
GACGAACGCUGGCGGCGUGCUUAACACAUGCAAGUCGAACGGUGAAGCGCCUUCCUUUUUGGUGGGUGUGGAUGAGUGGCGAACGGGUGAGUAACACGUGAGUAACCUGCCCCCUUCUUCUGGAUAACCGCAUGAAAGUGUGGCUAAUACGGGAUAUUCUGGGUCUGUCGCAUGAUGGGUCUGGGAAAGAUAUUGUUUCGGUGGGGGAUGGGCUCGCGGCCUAUCAGCUUGUUGGUGGGGUGAUGGCCUACCAAGGCGGUGACGGGUAGCCGGCCUGAGAGGGUGGACGGUCACACUGGGACUGAGACACGGCCCAGACUCCUACGGGAGGCAGCAGUGGGGGAUAGUGCACAAUGGGCGCAAGCCUGAUGCAGCGACGCCGCGUGAGGGAUGGAGGCCUUCGGGUUGUGAACCUCUUUCGCCAGUGAAGCAGGCCUGCCUCGUUUGUGGGUGGGUUGACGGUAGCUGGAGAAGAAGCGCCGGCUAACUACGUG